UUAUAAGCAUAGAACAAGUGAAAUUUUGUCGAGAGCACUGAUCAAAAUGAUGGAUCAUCGCGAGACGUAUUAUUUAUCGCGAGUGUUUGUGAUUAACUGUGCCACAGGCAUGUUUGAAUGAGUGUACGAUUUAUUUUCCAUUAAAUGUAGCAUUUGUUCCUUAAAAAACAUAGUGUUGUUGCAUUUACAUAUAUGAUGAUCUCCGCGUUACCGCUAAAACAUUCAUUCGCCUGGCAUGUUCCGAGUGUGGAUGUCCCCAUGUGGAUGUUACAACGUAAUGUAUGUGUGUAGAUAAAAUUGUAUGCAUGUCAUGUUUUAGCAGUGAAAUUUUCGUCGUAGCAAAUUUGCCAUGUAAAUCCGUUACAAAGUAAAAUGCGCGAGUUGAUUUCUAUUCAACAGGGUGUGUAAUUAAUUAAAUCCAGCUUUUUAAUAUUCAUCAAUUCUUUGAAGGAGACAAUACGGUUAGCGGUACAUUUUAAGAUGGAAUUUGUAGCCGGUGAAACAAACUGCAAUAUCCUAGCUUAUACAGCUGAAGGUGUAUUUAGCUAAGAUACAACGACUGAGUUUGGUACUUUGCCUCCAAUGAUGCUUGAUCUAUCUCAUAAUUAUCUUGGAAAGUUUGCUGAACUUAGUUGGAUGUGGUUAGAGCAAACUCGCAUAAGAAAUACUUUAUUAAGUUUAAAUAUAUGUCACAAUUUUUUAACUGAAUUACCAUUACAAAUUGGAAAGCUAAAUAUUUUAUCAAGUUUGUUAUGUGACCAAAAUAUGCUAAAACACUUACCACAAAAUUU
rnacentral:misc_RNA from 1 species